rnacentral:rRNA from 1 species
UACGGAGGGUGCAAGCGUUAAUCGGAAUUACUGGGCGUAAAGCGCACGCAGGCGGUUUGUUAAGUCAGAUGUGAAAUCCCCGGGCUUAACCUGGGAACUGCAUUUGAUACUGGCAAGCUUGAGUCUCGUAGAGGGGGGCGGAAUUCCAGGUGUAGCGGUGAAAUGCGUAGAGAUCUGGAGGAACACCAGUGGCGAAGGCGGCCCCCUGGACGAGAACUGACGCUCAGGUGCGAAAGCGUGGGGAGCAAACAGG